GACGUAGGGCGCGAGCGUUGUCCGGAUUUAUUGGGCGUAAAGAGCUCGUAGGCGGCUUGUCGCGUCGACUGUGAAAACUCGGGGCUCAACUCCGAGCUUGCAGUCGAUACGGGCAGGCUAGAGUUCGGUAGGGGAGACUGGAAUUCCUGGUGUAGCGGUGAAAUGCGCAGAUAUCAGGAAGAACACCCGUGGCGAAGGCGGUUCUCUGGAACGCAACUGACGCUGAGACGCGAAAGCGUGGGGAGCAAACAGG
rnacentral:rRNA from 1 species